GUGCACGCUGGCGGUAGGCCUAACACAUGCACGUCGCACGGCAGCACAGUAAGAGCUUGCUCUUACGGGUGGCGAGUGGCGGACGGGUGAGGAAUACAUCGGAAUCUACUUUUUCGUGGGGGAUAACGUAGGGAAACUUACGCUAAUACCGCAUACGACCUACGGGUGAAAGCAGGGGAUCUUCGGACCUUGCGCGAUUGAAUGAGCCGAUGUCGGAUUAGCUAGUUGGCGGGGUAAAGGCCCACCAAGGCGACGAUCCGUAGCUGGUCUGAGAGGAUGAUCAGCCACACUGGAACUGAGACACGGUCCAGACUCCUACGGGAGGCAGCAGUGGGGAAUAUUGGACAAUGGGCGCAAGCCUGAUCCAGCCAUACCGCGUGGGUGAAGAAGGCCUUCGGGUUGUAAAGCCCUUUUGUUGGGAAAGAAAAGCAGCAGGUUAAUACCCCGCUGUUCUGACGGUACCCAAAGAAUAAGCACCGGCUAACUUCGUG
rnacentral:rRNA from 1 species